GAUUAAUUGGAUCAUUUGAACGGGUGUGAAACGGGAUCUCAGUGGGCAUUGUCUUCAGUGUUUGAAACAAGAAUGCCCUGUGAAAUCCUGUCUCUCCGCCUGUCCAGUACAACGAUCCAANNN
rnacentral:precursor_RNA from 10 species